rnacentral:lncRNA from 1 species
GAAAUUCUCCUAAAUAUAUCUCCAACAGAGUAAACAAGAGAUUAGGAAACUCGUCCUUCAUUCAAUUACACCUGCAGGUGAAUGGGAGUGGAGCAGUAAGAGAUGCUGCUUCCAGUAGUUUUCUGCCUCUCAAUCCUUGCUAUUCAAAGUAUGGUCCACAGUCCAGCAGCUUUGGCAUCACCUGGGAACUUGAUGGAAAUGCAGAGAAGUUCAAAUUCCCACCACCGAUAU